rnacentral:sRNA from 1 species
CCGUCGUCCCCAAACCAGCAAUCAUUUGCUGGGGAA